GAUGAACGCUGACAGAAUGCUUAACACAUGCAAGUCAACUUGAACUUCGGUUUGGGUGGCGGACGGGUGAGUAACGCGUAAAGAACUUGCCUCACAGUUAGGGACAACAUUUGGAAACGAAUGCUAAUACCUGAUAUUAUGAUUUUAGGGCAUCCUAGAAUUAUGAAAGCUAUAUGCGCUGUGAGAGAGCUUUGCGUCCCAUUAGCUAGUUGGAGAGGUAACGGCUCACCAAGGCGAUGAUGGGUAGCCGGCCUGAGAGGAUGAACGGCCACAAGGGGACUGAGACACGGCCCUUACUCCUACGGGAGGCAGCAGUGGGGAAUAUUGGACAAUGGACCAAGAGUCUGAUCCAGCAAUUCUGUGUGCACGAUGAAGUUUUUCGGAAUGUAAAGUGCUUUCAGUUGGGAAGAAAAAAAUGACGGUACCAACAGAAGAAGUGACGGCUAAAUACGUG
rnacentral:rRNA from 1 species